rnacentral:lncRNA from 1 species
CCCAAUCUCAGAUUUUAAGUCUCACAGCAACAGAUUGAUGUUAGAGGAAGGGACUGAGUGAUUUCUUGUGAAAAAGAUGGUCAAAAUACGAGCGCCAAACAAUUCUUUGGCAUAUCCAUCCUCACUGAAUAUUCUACCAGAAGCUUUCCAGCAACAACCAGUUACUGUUGAUCCUCAACAGUUUCUCCUGCUCAUUCAGC